UAGGGAAUAUUGCGCAAUGGAGGAAACUCUGACGCAGCGACGCCGCGUGGGUGACGAAGGUCUUCGGAUCGUAAAGCCCUGUCGGAUGGGAAGAAAAACGGUAUGGCUAAUAUCCAUACCGCUUGACGGUACCAUAAGAGGAAGCCCCGGCUAACUUCGUGCCAGCAGCCGCGGUAAUACGAAGGGGGCAAGCGUUGUUCGGAAUCAUUGGGCGUAAAGCGCGUGUAGGCUGUCUAUUAAGUCGGGUGUGAAAUCCCUGGGCUCAACCGAGGAAGUGCAUUCGAAACUAAUAGACUAGAAGGUGGUAGAGGAUGGUGGAAUUCCAGGUGUAGAGGUGAAAUUCGUAGAUAUCUGGAGGAAUACCGGUGGCGAAGGCGGCCAUCUGGGCCACCCUUGACGCUGAGACGCGAAAGCGUGGGUAGCAAACAGG
rnacentral:rRNA from 1 species